UUCAAAAUAAAUUUAAUACCGAUCCAAACUUUAUAAUUUUAUUUUGAUUGUUAUAUAUAGGUUUCACCCGUUGUAUACCGUCCCAUAUUAAUAUAUUUUUAUAUAUUUAUAAU
rnacentral:sRNA from 1 species